GAUGAACGCUGGCGGCGUGCCUAAUACAUGCAAGUCGAACGAAACUUCUUUAUCACCGAGUGCCUGCACUCACCGAUAAAGAGUUGAGUGGCGAACGGGUGAGUAACACGUGGGCAACCUGCCCAAAAGAGGGGGAUAACACUUGGAAACAGGUGCUAAUACCGCAUAAUCAUAGUUACCGCAUGGUAACUAUGUAAAAGGUGGCUAUACUACCGCUUUUGGAUGGGCCCGCGGCGCAUUAGCUAGUUGGUAGGGUAAAGGCUUACCAAGGCAAUGAUGCGUAGCCGAAUUGAGAGGUUGAUCGGCCACAUUGGGACUGAGACACGGCCCAAACUCCUACGGGAGGCAGCAGUAGGGAAUCUUCCACAAUGGGCGAAAGCCUGAUGGAGCAACGCCGCGUGGGUGAAGAAGGUCUUCGGAUCGUAAAACCCUGUUGUUAGAGAAGAAAGUGCGUGAGAGUAACUGUUCACGUUUCGACGGUAUCUAACCAGAAAGCCACGGCUAACUACGUGC
rnacentral:rRNA from 1 species